rfam:Camelus ferus unplaced genomic scaffold scaffold1202, whole genome shotgun sequence.
GAGGGUACAGCUCAGUGGCAGAGCGCAUGCUUAGCAUGCACGAGGUCCUGGGUCCCAUCCUCAGUACCUCCA